rnacentral:rRNA from 1 species
GGCUCAGUGAGGCCUUCGGACUGGCUCGAGGAGGUUGGCAACGACCACCUCAAGCCGGAAAGUUCGUCAAACUCGGUCAUUUAGAGGAAGUAAAAGUCGUAACAAGGUCUCCGUAGGUGAACCUGCGGAGGGAUCAUUACACAAAUAUGAAGGCGGGCUGGAACCUCCCGGGGUUACAGCCUUGCUGAAUUAUUCACCCUUGUCUUUUGCGUACUUCUUGUUUCCUUGGUGGGUUCGCCCACCACUAGGACAAACAUAAACCUUUUGUAAUUGCAAUCAGCGUCAGUAACAAAUUAAUAAUUACAACUUUCAACAACGGAUCUCUUGGUUCUGGCAUCGAUGAAGAACGCAGCGAAAUGCGAUAAGUAGUGUGAAUUGCAGAAUUCAGUGAAUCAUCGAAUCUUUGAACGCACAUUGCGCCCUUUGGUAUUCCAAAGGGCAUGCCUGUUCGAGCGUCAUUUGUACCCUCAAGCUUUGCUUGGUGUUGGGCGUCUUGUCUCUAGCUUUGCUGGAGACUCGCCUUAAAGUAAUUGGCAGCCGGCCUACUGGUUUCGGAGCGCAGCACAAGUCGCACUCUCUAUCAGCAAAGGUCUAGCAUCCAUUAAGCCUUUUUUCAACUUUUGACCUCGG